GGCGGCAUAGUCAAGUGGUAAGACGAGAGUCUGCAAAACUCUUAUGCGCCGGUUCGAUUCCGGCUGCCGCCU
rnacentral:tRNA from 1 species